rnacentral:lncRNA from 1 species
AAAUAUAUUUUCACAUUUUUGCACAGAGAAGGAAAAAUCCUUUUGCUAAAAUUUAAAUCACCACAUUUGGUUAGAAAAUGCUAAGUAAAUAAUUAUACAAACUGUUACACUGUCGCCUGUAGGAGCAACAGUGGCGUCGUCACUUUGGUCAGCUGUGGAUCAUUUUGGUCUAUCUCAGAUCAUUUUAGAAUAAAAUUAAAAUGCACAGGGCCACCUGUGAAAUAAAUUAAUAAUUGCUUUCUCACAUCCAACCAAGUCAUUUUACAUGCUGGAAAGAUAAAAAUAUGCUGGAAAGAUAAAAAUAUUUUCUCGAUUAUGUUGUGUCCCUGUGACUGUCAUAUGGUUUGACAAAAUACGAGGUUGCUUCACAAUCACAUUCCAGCGAUCUGCAAAACUUAUGUUUUGGCAUUUUGUUUCCCUUAUUAAAGCAAAUAUUCAUGCCGAGAAAUAAAAUGUUUAUUUUCGUCAUGAAAGUGUAAAAAAUGCUGUAAUCCGUAACUGGACAUAUUAAGUUAUUUAAAUAUUCAAAACCACUUGCAGCAAGUUGCUAAAGAUAUUUCAGACGGACAGACAUACAAAGCCACACGAUACAUGUACCAAUAUAAAUUAAUCUAAUCACAAACGUUAAAGCACGGCAUUGGGUACGAAGUGGUUUGUGUACGCGUGGUAGCCCAGAACUUACUUGCAAUUAUCAACGAAGGAUGCCAUUUUCCCUGGAAUUUGGAAUGUAUGCAAUCGCCGGGCAUGUCAUUCUAUAUCUUCGCAGAUGUGCUUACAAUCGACCACCGCUUCUCACCAAUCCAAUAAACUAAACAUUUUUCGGGUAAAUUCUGUUCAGUAGCCAUUUUUCAAACAAAUUCCGCCAAGAAACAUGCGUGGUCGAUUUCGGUAGUUUCCGGUAUUUUCCCGGAAAUCUCCGAUUCCAUUUAUGGCUGGUUUGUAUAGCUUAAUUAUUUUUUUUCUUUAAUUAGUUCUAUUUUGGCGAAAACAAGAUUAACGUGCAUCUAAAAUAAUAACAUGAUGCGAAAAUUAUGAUAUUACAAAGUUCUAUAAAUAAAAAAUGCGUUCAACAACAACAACAAAAACAUGACGAAAAAUGCGUGAAAGAACAACUGCUGGCGUUACACAUUAUAAGAAGGUUAGUAAAUCUUCAUGGAUUUCUAUUUCCAGAAUAAAAUCAUAUCAAACAUAGUGAUAAUCCAGUUUUCAGAAUAGAGCACGAUGUAUCCGAAUUUUUGUUAGUCCCGAAAUGUGCUAACUUCCACUCGAGGUUUCUAACGAAAUUUCAGAAUAUGUAAUGUAAUCUCUAUCUGUGGUCACCAUGUGCUUCACAUCACACCCCACUGCUUUUUGCCGACUGUUACACGAAUGAUAUUGUUUUAAAUUAUCAAAUACCCAAUUUAUAUCCUAUACAUCCGAAUUAGAAGGAGGUGUUUUUACCAGAAAAGGGGGACGUUUUGACCAAAAUGGGGGGUGUUUUGAGUAGGGGACGUUUUGACUAACAUCCGGUCAUGGCGAUGACUGAUGCCAGUGAACACGAUGUACUGUUGUCGUGUACUCCGAAAAGAUUGGUCAAAUUCUACAAGUAUUUGAACCACAUGUAUUUCAGCUCGGAAUAAAAAUGCGGUUUGCCAAAAAUGGUCCUGCAUGAACCGGAAAGUACAUUUUGACAGUUGGCAGUAAAAUAAGCUAAUUGUUUAUAACACUGCCCAUGAAGGCAUUCUGUGAAUAUUACAAUUAACAUUAAUAAUUCUGCGUCCGGCAGGGCAUGAUCAAAACAUGUAGUUAGCGGCUAGUUAUGUUUACAGAUGAUAAGAUGUAUGAAAAUUUAUAUAUUGAAAUUUUAUGGUCCGGCAUGAACACGUUAAAGCAGGGCACAGUGCCUGUCUAAAAGGGGGUGGGGGAUAACCCUGCAUAUUGUUGCAUUUAACAUUUGAACAAUUGUGAUGUCUUUAAACUACACCGACAUAACAUUUUCAGUGAAAAACAAUAGGGCGAAUUUAAAUAUAAAAAAUUAUUCACAAAAAGUGACUAUCAUAAUAAAAUAUUAUGCUCAAAGUUCGAUCAAUAGUCAUGAUAGUGGAAAAGUUUACAGCAUGUUAACAAUGCCAAUUAUGUGGUCAAUCAUGGACGCCAUUGUGCGGCCUUUGCUAUUGGUUUCUUAUGUGUUUGUCAUGAAAGAAGCGGGGUGGAUAUAAAAUUAAUUUGUUUUUCAGAUCACUUUAUUGGACGAGAAGUUGUUACGCCUACUUUCAGACGUUGCAUCUUGAAGACAGCGAUCACUUCAUGAUCAUUCUCACUAAAAAGUGAAGAGAAAAUGGCCAACAGGGAGUGUAUAUUGGGAAAAUUGAAACCUUACAAUCUUCUGCCAGAGGACGAAGCAGCAACCCCCAAGUCAUUCACAAGAUUACAAAUGGGCUAUGAAUUUUUUUUCUUUUAUUGGCAAGCACAAUUCUGCUGCAAAAACCAAGAAUGCAUUCACAAUUAGCUUUGAAUAUAAUAAUGAAGAACAGUGAAAGUUUUUGAAAGUAAGAAAAUCAGUCUUGGAGAGGAAGGAAAGAGUUCCGUGAUAACAGAUGAUAUUUUAAAGCACUAUCUAGAUAAACCUCUGUAUCCACAUAUGUUCAAGUAAUCUCGCAUCAACAAAUAUGUGUUGUAACAGUGAGAAAGCUCAUUUUCAAAUGUGUGUUUUUGGAUAUCAGACCAACCAUGACAUUUAUAAGCAGUCCUUUAGAGUUGGUUGAACACAGUACAUGUACAUUAGUCGGGAAGAUUUAAUCAUAACUGCCACCAACAAAGUUGAAGU